rnacentral:tRNA from 1 species
GCCUGGGUGGCUCAGUCAGUUAAGCCUCUGACUUCAGCUCAGAGCGUGAUCUCACGGAUGUGAGUUCGAGCCCCACAUCGGGCU